AAAUUCAGUUUCCCCACUAAACAUACUCUCCUCAUAUUUCCCUCUCAGUUUUAAUUUUUCAUUUUCAUCUUCCCACCAAAAUCUCACAGCCUCCUAAAAUGCCCUAAUUAAGAAUAUUUCCUCACGAUCCAUCUCUUCUUCUCUCUGUGAUUUCUUCUUCUUCUCUAUCUUUGGCUCAUUACUUCUUGAUCACCAUUUUGUAUCGUAACACAUUGUUACAAGGGCUUCAAACCAGGACUAACAUGUCUUUGUUACUAAGGUCUUACCCAGUAUGUUGGGAGGGUUGAGAAGGUCGAUAGGCGGUGAAAGAAGAGUGGGUGCUGGUGGUGAUCGGACAAUCCACGAUUGAGAAUUUGAUUCAGUAUGACGCAAUUAGUCCGUUCAUUGCAGUGGCUGGCUUACAUCCUAUUAAUUAUGCGUGUCUAUCUUAUCACGAGUAAAAAGAUUGAGCCAAUCCCAAGCAGAAAUCUGCCUCCUAGGUUUGAACCAAAUACAUCUCGCAGUGUGAGCGGUUUACAUAUGAUUUUUUAGUUUGUUAUUCUCCUUUCAUAUG